AUCCGGAUGACCAGUCCCGAAUAGGACGAAACGCGCGUCAAAUUGGAU
rnacentral:hammerhead_ribozyme from 1 species